AUUGAACGCUGGCGGCAUGCCUUACACAUGCAAGUCGAACGGUAACGGGCCUUCGGGUGCCGACGAGUGGCGAGCGGGUGAGUAAUACAUCGGAAUGUGCCCGAUCGUGGGGGAUAACGAGGCGAAAGCUUUGCUAAUACCGCAUACGAUCUACGGAUGAAAGCAGGGGACCGCAAGGCCUUGCGCGGACGGAGCGGCCGAUGGCAGAUUAGGUAGUUGGUGGGAUAAAAGCUUACCAAGCCGACGAUCUGUAGCUGGUCUGAGAGGAUGAUCAGCCACACUGGGACUGAGACACGGCCCAGACUCCUACGGGAGGCAGCAGUGGGGAAUUUUGGACAAUGGGCGCAAGCCUGAUCCAGCCAUGCCGCGUGCAGGAUGAAGGCCUUCGGGUUGUAAACUGCUUUUGUACGGAACGAAAAGCCUUCUUUUAAUACAGGAGGGUCAUGACGGUACCGUAAGAAUAAGCACCGGCUAACUACGUG
rnacentral:rRNA from 1 species